rnacentral:rRNA from 1 species
CUACGGGGGGCUGCAGUGAGGAAUAUUGCGCAAUGGGGGAAACCCUGACGCAGCGACGCCGCGUGGAUGAUGAAGGCCUUCGGGUCGUAAAAUCCUGUCAGAAGGAAAGAAGUAUAUGGUAGCUAAUAUCUGCCAUAUUUGACGGUACCUUCAAAGGAAGCACCGGCUAACUCCGUGCCAGCAGCCGCGGUAAUACGGAGGGUGCAAGCGUUGUUCGGAAUUACUGGGCGUAAAGCGCGCGUAGGCGGCUGUUUAAGUCAGAUGUGAAAGCCCAUGGCUUAACCAUGGACGUGCAUUUGAUACUGGGCAGCUCGAGUACUGGAGGGGGUGGUGGAAUUCCCGGUGUAGAGGUGAAAUUCGUAGAUAUCGGGAGGAAUACCGGUGGCGAAGGCGACCACCUGGCCAGAUACUGACGCUGAGGUGCGAAAGCGUGGGGAGCAAACAGGAUUAGAUACCCCGGUAGUC